rnacentral:rRNA from 1 species
UGUGGUUAAUUCGAUGGUACGCGAGGAACCUUACCAGGGCUUGACAUACGCCGGAAGCGCAUCGAAAGGUGCGUGCCGCUUGCGGCCGGCGUACAGGUGCUGCAUGGCUGUCGUCAGCUCGUGCUGUGAAGUGUUCGGGUUAAGUCCCGCAACGAGCGCAACCCCUGCUGCCUGUUGCCACCACGAGAGGUGGGGACUCAGGCGGGACCGCCGGUGACAAACCGGAGGAAGUGGGGACGACGUCAAGUCAUCAUGGCCCUUAUGUCCUGGGCUACACACGUGCUACAAUGGCCGGUACAGAGCGCAGCGAGGCCGCGAGGCGGAGCGAAUCGCUUAAAGCCGGUCCCAGUACGGAUUGGAGUCUGCAACCCGACUCCAUGAAGUUGGAAUCGCUAGUAAUCGCGCAUCAGCAUGGCGCGGUGAAUACGUUCCCGGGCCUU